UACGAGGGGGGCAAGCGUUGUCCGGAUUUAUUGGGCGUAAAGAGCUCGUAGGCGGCUUGUCGCGUCGUCCGUGAAAACCCACAGCUCAACUGUGGGCUUGCGGUCGAUACGGGCAGGCUAGAGUUCGGCAGGGGAGACUGGAAUUCCUGGUGUAGCGGUGAAAUGCGCAGAUAUCAGGAGGAACACCGGUGGCGAAGGCGGGUCUCUGGGCCGAUACUGACGCUGAGGAGCGAAAGCGUGGGGAGCAAACAGG
rnacentral:rRNA from 1 species